rnacentral:lncRNA from 1 species
UUUUGUCAAAUUUUCAAAAUUAUAAUUAUACUUUUCCCCACACAAUUUUAUCUAAUUCACAUUUUCCCCCACCCAAUUUUAUCUAUAAAUACCCCCCUUCUUCCACCUUCAAAAUCACUCCAUUGUAUUAACAAUUCUACACUCUCCUCUCUUCUACUUCUAAUUCUCCUCCAUUCUUUAUGUGCUAUUGCUCUUGUUAAAUUGCUCUUGCUCUAUAAUUCUUUAGCUAUUCUCUUGCUUAUUCAAUUGCUUUACUUUAUUGUUCUUGC